rnacentral:rRNA from 1 species
GGACCCGCACAAGCGGUGGAGCAUGUGGUUUAAUUCGAUGCAACGCGAAAAACCUUACCUACUCUUGACAUACUUGGAAGCUCUUGUAAUGAGAGUGUGCCUUUUGGAACCAAGAUACAGGUGCUGCAUGGCUGUCGUCAGCUCGUGUCGUGAGAUGUUCCGUUAAGUCGGAUAACGAGCGCAACCCUUACCCUUAUUUGCCAGCGAUUCGGUCGGGAACUAUAAGGGGACUGCCGGUGAUAAACCGGAGGAAGGUGAGGACGACGUCAAGUCAUCAUGGCCCUUACGAGUAGGGCUACACACGUGCUACAAUGGGGAAUACAGACGGACGCUAAGCCGCGAGGUGGUGCUAAUCCUAGAAAGUUUCUCGUAGUCCGAAUUGCAGUCUGGAACUCGACUGCAUGAAGCCGGAAUCGCUAGUAAUCG